rnacentral:rRNA from 1 species
UACGGGGGGGGCAAGCGUUGUUCGGAAUUACUGGGCGUAAAGGGUGCGUAGGCGGCUUUCUAAGUGGGCUGUGAAAACUCUGGGCUCAACCCAGAGCCUGCAUCCAAAACUGGAGAGCUAGGGUUCUGGAGGGGAAAGCGGAAUUCCUGGUGUAGCGGUGAAAUGCGUAGAUAUCAGGAGGAACACCGGUGGCGAAGGCGACUACCUGGACCAGCACUGACACUGAGGCACGAAAGCGUGGGGAGCAAACAGG